rnacentral:rRNA from 1 species
CGAAGAAUGAUCUGUGAUGGGGAAGGAAAUUAAGUACGGAAGUUCCUGAUUUCAAGCUGUCAAGAAAAGCCUCGAGGAAGAGUAGUACUGCCCGUACCGCAAACCGAAACAGGUAGAUGAGGAGAGAAUCCUAAGGUGAGCGAGAGAACUCUCGUUAAGGAACUCGGCAAAAUGACCCCGUAACUUCGGGAGAAGGGGUGCUCUAUUAGGGUGGAAGCCCGAGAGAGCCGCAGUG